rnacentral:lncRNA from 1 species
AUGCUGGAGGCUCAGGGAUGCUGGAGGGACCCAUUCUGCUUAGCCCUGGAGGGACUGGUUCUGCUCACACCACUCCUGGUACUGAGCGCUUCUUCUCCGUGGCCACGAACCUCUCCAACCUGCCAGCAUGGACUUGAGUCCUGGAGCUGCAGCAGCUGUCUUGAAGCCAUUAGGACGUGCCGAGGGCGGCCGAGGAGCCCGGGCUCCGGGUGGCAUCAGGGAACUGCUGGAUCAGCCGCGCCCGCCCUGCACCUCCUGCGGCCUGGGAGAGCUAAGCUCCUUCCUGGUGUCAGCUGUUACCGACCAGGGUUUCCGUGGCUUGUAGCUGAAGGCGUUUCCACCAGCACAUUUCAAGGCUGUUUCUUCAUCUUGAAAAUGCUGCCGACAGUCCUUUGUCUGACCUGGAGUUCGCGUGCUGCCGGGAUCGCUUGUGCCUUUAUUGCUAGGGUGUUGAUUGGCAGUUUGCCCUCGGUCAGACCUUCCAUCUGGGGACACUCAGGACAGGGUUGUUCCCUGCUUCCCAGGAGCUCGCGGUGGCUCAGCCAUGUGGACAGCCGCGACAGCCGUGAAGACAUGAAGCACCAGGCGGGGGGAACUGUGCAGGGGCCCCCAGGGAGUGUGAGCGGGGAGCCCUGCUCUGGUGGCCACAUUCUCACCCACAGGACAGGGCCCAAAGGUCACCUCAGCUCUGGAGAUCUCAGAAUGGGGGAUGGCAUGUUCUAGAAGCAUUCACCACCAGGACAGCUAGAAACUUCCCCGGGGCUCUCAGCCAGCCCUGUGGGGCUCCUCUGGCCUGCCAGCCUCUCGGAGGGCCCUGCUCAAAGAUGAGGGGCUAAGACCCUAAAUUCCACCUUCUCUCCAGCAGAUGCUGCCUGGCUCCCGCAAGCCUUGAGGCUGCUGGUCCCUCUGCACCUCCGCUUCUCUGUCCAUAAGUGAGAAGACUGGACCAGAUGGUAGAAGUUUCUUGUAGCCCCAGCGUGCUUUCUAUAACUCCAGAGAAGUUGCACCCUCAUGGGCUCCUUUCUCAGGGCAGACAAGGGACAGAAACAGAGAGAGUGUGUGCUUUUCUCCAGAUCACACAGCAGAUCAGUACCAACAAUGCUGUGAUGUUCAGAAGUGCACAGUUGUACGUACACUAUUUCUCAAUGUGCCAGUAUAUCUAGGAAAAAUUCCUGGAACUGGAAUUGCCAAACCCAGCUUUUUAACUUGGUUAUAUGCUGAAAAAAUGCUCUCCCAAGAAGCUGUACGAAUGCAUGUUAGGAGAAACUCAUUUACCCACCAACACAGUGUGUAGUCAAAGUUUCUGAUCUUUGCCAAAUAAAUGAAUGAAAAAUUGUAUUUCGGGAUAGUAG